CCCUUAGAUGUUCUGGGCCGCACGCGCGCUACACUGAUGAAUUCAACGAGCACUAACCUGUGCCGAAAGGUUCGGGUAAUCUUGUGAAAUUUCAUCGUGAUGGGGAUUGAUUAUUGCAAUUUUUAAUCAUAAACGAGGAAUGCCUAGUAAGCGUGAGUCAUCAGCUCACGUUGAUUACGUCCCUGCGCUUUGUACACACCGCCCGUCGCUCCUACCGAUUGAAUGUGCCAGUGAAAAGUUAGGAUUGGGCGUGGGAGACGGCAACGUAUUCCACAUCCGAGAAAAUCUUUAAACUUUCCCAUUUAGAGGAAGGAGAAGUCGUAACA
rnacentral:rRNA from 1 species